rnacentral:tRNA from 1 species
GCCUGAGUGGCUCAGUGGGUUGAGCAUCCGACUUCGGCUCAGGUCAUGAUCGAAUAGCUCGUGAGUUCGAGCCCCACGUCAGGCU